UACGAAGGGGGCUAGCGUUGUUCGGAAUUACUGGGCGUAAAGCGCACGUAGGCGGAUUGUUAAGUCAGAGGUGAAAUCCCGGAGCUCAACUUCGGAACUGCCUUUGAUACUGGCAAUCUUGAGUCCGGAAGAGGUUAGUGGAAUUCCCAGUGUAGAGGUGAAAUUCGUAGAUAUUGGGAAGAACACCAGUGGCGAAGGCGGCUAACUGGUCCGGUACUGACGCUGAGGUGCGAAAGCGUGGGGAGCAAACAGG
rnacentral:rRNA from 1 species